GACUCUAUGUACACCAUACCUGGAUGGGACAUGCUAGCUGAACAUGUACAAGACAUGUGAAAAACAUCCAGUCUUUUCUCUGAGUAAAACAUCCCCCAGGCGGGAGCAGUACAGUUCAGCUGUUUUUGUCCAGAACUAAUUCACAACAGUCACCACUUAUGAAGGAGCUAGCCUUAGGUGAGCCAAAUGAAUGCCUAUCUUUUAUGGACAAGGAGAACAGUCAUUUGAUUCACCUCACAAGCAGGGCUGGUGUAAUUAGAUACCCACACAUAUGCACACCCACCUACAGCGGUUUCCUCUACAGCGCAGAAUUCAUUCUCUUUCCACAUGGGAGAAGCUCAGACAGCGCUCAUCGAUGUUUGCUGUUACCGUCAGGCAGGGCUGACCAAUCACACAGCAACUCAGACGUGUUUUAUUGCCGUCAAGAAUGAGCAACAGAGGAUCUGGAUGGGUCUGCAUGUUUGUUUUGGCCCUGGCGUUUUCCACGUACGCAGCCCUGGGAAUCCUGUGUCCCGUUCCCAGCUCUGCCUCGCCCCCAUUGUGUUCCGCUUCCCUCGCUGGUGAAAGUGAAAACGAAACCAGCACAAACACUCCAUUGUUAGGUAGGAAAUAUGUACUGGCAACUGGAAGUUUUUAACAAAAGAGACCUGUUUGUGUCAUGGCAAGAUGUUGAGGCAGGAGGGAGUUACAGGAGCCUUUCCUGCUUCAGAGUAUGCACUGGCAGCCUCUGGAGGCUUCUGUGGGAGCAACUCAGCUCCUGAAGCCGAGACACAAGCCCUGCCAGGUCUCCGGAGUAAACACGAUAUGCACCGAGAAGAAACAAACGUCGAGUUUUCCUGUGCAAAAGAUGACAUGGUUCUCCAAACUCUGGUCCUACUUCACUCUGUCACGUGAGCUUGCUAGCUGGGUGUCACACAAUGAGCAGAUGACUUGAUAUACACACAUCCAACGGACCGACAUCCACACGGGUUCUGCAAAGAGGAUGCUGGGGACCCUUGUGAACAUCCCACAUUCUGGCACAGGUUUCCACUCCUGGGCUUCAGCUUUGCAUGAGACACAGCAGGAACCUGGGGAGGCUGCUGUGGUUUGCUCCUCUGUGUGGACCUCAGCCUUCUGGGAGCAUCAUCGCAGAAGCACUGCCUCAUCAUCCCCUCACAACAAUGGCCAGCGAUGCCGCCUCACACUUCCCAAGGACAGCACCAACCAGGCCAGGUUCUGGCUUCAGAACCUCUCUGAGGCUGAAGAUGGACUUUCUCCUAAGUUUUAAUAUAAUAUGUCUGAGGACAGUAUUCCUGCAGCUUUAUUCUCUGUAUCCGUCUCCUGCCCCAUUAGCAACACAGUGGAGGAACACUGCUUCCUCCUAUCUGCUCAUGAAUUUACUUCAUACAGAGUAGGGCUUUCAAUGAAAAGGAUUAUUAAUAUUAACUACUGGAUGCUCUUCUUAGAAGCCUUCACCUGGCUGCUGCUUGCUCAUCAUUCAGAGGUCAAUCAAGGUCACUGUCAAGUUAAUUGCUCUCUUUGCGGAUGGCAUCACAGCUUCAGAGGACUGCUUGACCCCACCUGGGUAGGCAAUGUGGCCGUUUCUCAAGCCACACUGCUGCACACCGGUGACAUUUCUCCUGCCUUCUCUAUCCUGCCUCUGUGUCGUGCAGUCUUCCAUGGCUAUCUAUGCAACUAUAAAAACACACGUUAUAGGAAAAAGCACUUAGACAUUUGUAACUGACUCCUUUCCAGUGGCUGAGAGGUCAACAGGCUAUUUCUGCAACAAAGCUAGCCAUGUUCAUCUGCAGUAAGCAGAACACUUUCCCCUAGCCCACCAAUAACACAAAGUGCAGAAAGACAUUCCGUUCACAGACCAAGAAACAACAUUAGGGGCAGGAAGGGGGCGGUGGGUCAUUCAAGACAGAAAAACUAAGUUUAACGAAUGGACUCACCACUG